rnacentral:tRNA from 1 species
AUCAGUAGCUCAGGUGGUUAGAGCAGCGGAAUCAUAAUCCGCGUGUCGGGGGUUCAAGUCCCUCCUCCGCUACCA